rnacentral:pre_miRNA from 1 species
UUGCCCAUUUUGGCACUAGCACAUUUUUGCUUCUGUAUAUACUCGUUGAGCAAUUAUGUGUAGUGCCAAUAUAGGAGA